CCGGACUCACAGGAGGACCCGGACUCGGAAAGACUAGGGCUCCGCUGCUCCGACACGGUUUCCUAUUCCUCUUCUUCGUUGGUUUGAAUCGCACCUGUCCGCGGCUCUGCUGCCCUCCACUGGUGAGGACAGGACUGUACCGGACCGGACCGGACCGGACCCUCACACUCAAAUGAUGAGAGAAGCCCAGUGCUCCGACCUGCUGCCACUACUUACAGUUUUAUUUCAUCCAAAGUUUAAAAUAAUACCAUUUAUUCAUUAAAAUUAAGAUAAAUGUGUCUAAA